rnacentral:lncRNA from 1 species
AACAAUUUCAACAUACUGACGGUAUUAGAACCUUAAGCAUUGUAGCUGAAUUACCAAACAAAUAAUAUAAAGACAAACUACCGGCUUCAAUAGAAUUCCUUGCAUAAGCUUUGAAGCAAAUUGAGUUGUUGUAAAUUUUCUUUCAUUUUAACGUAAAGACAAAUUACCAGCUUCAAUAGAAUUCCUUGCAGCAAGUCUAAAAUCAUUGACAAUUUGUGGAAUUUCAUCUGUCCUUAAUCGUCUUGGAGGCGUGAAUUCAGAGGCAUCGAUGCCAUUUAAUCGUAUCGGCUUGUCAGUAGAAGAUAUUGGAGCUUGCCCAUUUGGUUGAUAACCUGUAAGCAAGGAGAGAAAGAAUUACAACCUGAAGUCUAACGACAGUAACUAACAUCCACAGCAGCACUCUUUUAAGUGGGAAUCCUUUGUUACAAAUUACUAUAACCACACGUGCUAUAUACUAGUUCUGAAUUCUGAGUUAUGUUAACAUCAAACUUAUUCCCAUCCAAUAAUAAUAAUAACAAUGCUUCCGAAACAGCAAAGUCAUAACAAGUCCAACUCGGAACUUAACAAGUCCAAGUUUUAUCGUCAUUUUGAGCAACAAUGUUGUCAUUUAUAAUCACUCGCUCGUUCUGAUGCAUAUACCAUUAUGUUAUACAUCAAACUUCUUAAUCGGUCUAAUUAUUCACUCAUGUUAACAAAGCAUUCUAUGGUAAAAGUGAGGUCAUAAAGGUGUAAGUCAGAAACGCACCGCUAUUAGAAACCCUUCCAACAUGCCAAAUCUGACAGAAGAAGAGGCCACCUUUAGCAUGAACAGCAUCAACAAUGGGUUUCCAGGCUUCAACUUGCUCCUUUGUCCAUAUACCAGGUGUGUUCGGGUACCUUCGUAUAUUAAAGAACCAAAAAUUUCAUCAAACUUUGAAACGAAAGAAGCACCCUCAAAUGCUUGUUAGUCUAUGAAUCUACUGUUGUUGAAAUUACCCUUGAGCUGUGUUGGAAACUCCAGUGGCUUCAGCUAUGAGAAGACCCCCGUUCGAAGUUCUCUGAGAGUAAUAUAAGAUAGCAUGUGGUUGAGGAACAUUGUUGUAUGAUCUCUGUCUGGUCAAUGGUGCUAAAACAAUUCUGGAAAGGAAAAAGCAAUUGUAAAUUAUAAAUACAGAGUGAUCAAGAUGGAAUGUGGCUGAGGAACAUUAUCGAAUGAUCUGUAUCUAGUCAUCAACGGUGAAAAUACAAUUCUAAACAGGAAAAACAUAUAAUAAACCAUAAAUACAACCUUCAGACUUUGUAGGAAGCAUUAGUUUGCUAAGGCUCCUUCAUAACAAAUUCGUUUUUAGUUUUCUUGUUUUAGUUAAAAAGGAGAAACGAGGGAGGAAGAAGGAAUUUGGGGCGAAAAUGUAUGAAAUAAAAAGUCGAAUUGUAGAUUAUCUGAAUUUGCUAAGGCUCCUUCAUAACAAAUUCGCUUUUAGUUUUCUUGUUUUACUUAAAAAGGAGAAACGAGGGAGGAAUAAGGAAUUUGGGACGAAAAUGUGUGAAAUAAAAACUCUAAUUGUAGACUAUCUGAAUUUGCUUUAUGUUCUUCAUUUUCGGUAUCAUUCCAUGCACAUUUGGUCCCUCAUCCAUCCCUUCCCCUUCCCCUUCCUCCUCCUCCUCCUCUUCUAUCAUGCAUUUUCUCUUUUACUUAAAAUUAAAAACUAAAAAUCAAAUACGAAAUCGUUACCAAACACAACCUAAACAAAGCAAUGUCUUACGAAGUGACCAUGGCCGAAAGGACACAUACUUUUAACAAUCUAUUGCAUCUAUUUUCAACAAUUAAUCAAUGAAAUAACUCAAGUGUACUGUUGUUUUGAUUUAAUUUGUAACAUCUGUACUAUUUUAUAGACAAAGAUACAGUUACUCUUUUUUUUUUUUUAGGUAAACUGGAAUUACACCAGGGCAAAGCCAGAGUACAACAGGAAAACCCACACAGAGGACUAACAUAGCUAAAACCAUUGAAACGACAAACAACAGAAUGAUCCAGGGCCAAGGACCAACACUAGUUCCGACAUUAUGUCACCCUUAAUCAUUCCAACAUAGACUCAACUUAGUGUGGGCAAGGUAGACCAUCCUUGUUCAACUUCUUGUCUCCUUCCCAACAUCUGUACUAUUUUAUACCAACAUGAUUCUCUCCAGAUUCUUUUGGUGAGAAUCUUGUCUGUUCAUCAUAAAUCGUGCGAUCAGUUUUUGUCAACUACUGUUCGUGUUUUAUUUUAAAUAAAAAUAUUUAAAAUAAUUUUUGACCGCACGAUGUACGAUGAACAGACAGGAUAACGGAUUUCCAAGAUUCUCACAAAGAGAAUCCGACGAGUAUCCGGAAUCUAUUUUAUAGACAAAGAUACAGUUACAAACAGUCCUUGUCUCCUUCCCCAAAUCAUUCUUCGUUUUUGUAUAGCUAUAUUUGACACACACACAUAAUAAACCACACAGUACGCUAAACUUGAAUAUAGACAAGCAGUAAUUUCAUCUUCUAUUUUUCUUGUUAGCCAAUAGCCAUCUGCAGACCUAGCUACUCUCUGAAUCCAAGUUCGGAUCUCCUCUCAUAGUUUUUACAACAUUAUAUUAAAAUAACGCCCGAAUAAAAUAAAUUAAACAAUUACACGACAGAGAAAUUUAAGAAGUAAACAAAUAGGAACAAUGUAUGAAAGUUUUAAGUACCUAUGAGAAAGAUUGAAGUUUCCCAAUUUGUAGGGAGUGAGGAGAGGAAUUGUGGGAGGUUGAGCAGCAGCAGACAUCUCAGAAUUCGAGUCGGUCGUCUACCACCUGAUCUUGCACUUGGCGUUUUAUACUGGAUUCUGGGAUGAAGGAAGGAAGGAAUGAAUGAAAACAGGACCCAAUUGGGUCUUUUAUACGUUCGGUAGGAGCUUAAAAGUCCGCCCUGCAGCUUUCCUCCACAAAAGUCAGAGAAGGCCGGGUCCCACAUCUCCCCUCCCUUGUGUGGUGGUGGCGGCGGCGGACGUCGGUGGGUGGAUGAUGGAUCUCUCCAAAGCAUUAAUUAAAUCGAUUAGGUGAAGAGAGGUAGGAAGGUUUGAUGAGGUCUGUAAUUACGUUUACGUGGGUUGAAAAUAAACCAGUUUUAUGAGGUCUGUAAUUACGUUUGCGUGGGUUGAAAGUUCACCAGUUUUCCCCAUGAAAAAGGACGUCUACGCACGUUCAUUUCGAUUUUGCUUUUUCAUCCUGCAUUAUUAGGCCAUGGUUAGAAAAAAUAUAUUAUAAUUUUGUAAAAAAAUUAAUUUUAAAUUAAUAGUGUCAGAUCAUAUUUAUAUACUAUCGCUAACCAAAUGAGCUAAACAUAGCCUCAUCAAUUUCCGAUGGAUAGCUAGACUAAAAUUCUAUGGAGCUCAUCAAGCCAUCAUUUGGCUAAAGGGGCAUUGGGCUGGCCAAAUGUAGCCCCCCUUCUUAGCCCUUUUUGGAGCCCAGCUCCUCUACUGCACUAUUUGAGUCAAAUUCAAUAACUAUGUUUGAAAACAUUUAAUGGAAGUUUAAUUAAAUUAAUCAAUAAAUUUAAUAUAUAAACUUAAAACUAAGUAAUUAUUGAGAGGGUUAUGUUUAGCCACUUCAGUGACGGUAUAAGUAUGAUGCGAUAUUGUUCAGUCAUUUCGGUUAAUGAUGGCCUACGGUUAGAAUUUUGAGGAUAUGUGAGACUAAAUGCAUGUUAGUUACAAAAUUAUGUUUGUUUAGAUCACUUGAAAUAUUUGACAACUUAAUAAAGAAAAACCAACUUAAAAUCCAUGAAUUAGAAAACUCAUUUUCUUUUUUGGUUUUAUUAAGUUGUCAAAUAUUUAAGCUUUUGAAUACAAACUAAUAUAAUCUUGUGGCUAAUAUACAUUUGGUCCUCACAAAUCUUUAAAAUGAAGACCUUACUUGAUCAAUGAAUUUAUGACAAAUUAAAUAGUCUAAAAAUAAAAGGCUCGAAUUAGGGCUAGGUUCAGUUCAAAUCAGUUCAAUUUUUUUUUCAGUUUGGGUUUUUUUUGGUUCCAAUUCGGUUUUUUUCGUGAUUUUUUUUAAAUCUUUUUUUUUUUGUCAAAAAUAUAAAGAAGAGUAAUUUUACUUUUUUUUUUUUCCGAUGAACUAAGAAAUUAAAGAAGGAACUUGAAUUAAAACUAGGGCAACUCGCAAUGAUGGCUGCAUCAACAAAUCAUCCAUAUCUACAAUACGAACAGAAACCUUUGUAAAUCAUAAAGUCCUUAAUGCUGAAUCCUUUAAGAACCAAGACUUGAAAACCCUAAAUCUGCAAUACAAACCCACAAGUAACAAACAAACCCACAACACAAAAAUCGACCAAAUCUGCAAUACAAACCAAACUCCCUCCAUGGCGCCAUGUCGCUGCCUCCGUUUUCCGGCCAAACCAAGGCGAUUUAACAUAAAAAAAAAAGGUACCAUUCUCUUCGUCUCAUCUAGAAGUAUGAUUUUUGUUUUUGAAUCACUUGAUUUCGUUGAGUAUUCAAGAAGUUAUGAACGUUUAAAGUUUACUCAGUUUCUGGCGAGUUUUCAAGUUUUCUAUCUUAUUCUACACUUUCCUAUCUUCAUUUUGAUAUUUUAUGGGUCGAAUUUGGUUAAGAAACGAUUGAGUUAUAAAGCUUUGAAAAUUGCCCAAGAACUCCGGGACACUUAACGGAGUUUUUAACGGAAUGACCAAAAUGAUGGAUGGUGGACAAUCUCAAGGACCACUUUUAUCGAUUUGAAAUGUUAGGGACCAAGGUGAUGAGUUAUGCAAAUCUCAGGGACUAUUUUGACUAUUUAGCCUUUUUUUUUUCAUAAACGAAAAUAAUUUUUUUUAAUGAAGAUAGAAAAGUGUAGAAUAAGAUUAUACCUAUUUGGAAGCCCAAUGGCUGCCGGAGAUAGCCGGAAAAUAGCCUCAAAGUUGACUGGUCCGAGGGAAAAUUGGAAAACUCGCCGGAAACUGGGUAAACUUUAAACGUUCAACUUCUUCAAUACUCAACUAAAUCAAGUGAUUCAAAAACAAAAAUCAUACUUCUCGAUGAGACGAAGAGAAUGGUACCUUUUAAGACGGUUAAAUCGCGGUGGUUUGGCCAUAAAAAGGCUCAAAAGUGUCUAACUCGAGACCAAGACAGCCACUUUGGAACCGUUUUCCGGGCAAACCACGGUGAUUUAGCCGUCAAAAUAGGUACCAUUCUCUUAUUAUCGUUGAGAAGUAUGAUUUUAGUUUUGAAUAACUUGAUUUCGUUGAGUAUUGAAGAAGUUAUGAACAUUUAAAGUUUACUCAGUUUUUGGCGAGUUUUCCAGUUUUCCUUCGGACCAGUCAACUUUGAGGCUAUUUUCUUGCUAUCUCCGGCAGCCAUUGGGCCUCCAAAUAGGUAUAAUCUUAUUCUACACUUUCCUAUCUUCAUUUUGAUAUAUUAUGGGUCGAAUUUGGUUAAGAAACGUUUGAGUUAUGAAGCUUUAAAAAUUGUCCAAAUUUCCAGCCAAGAACUCCAGGACACUUAACGGAGUUUUUAACUAAAUGACCAAAAUGAUGGAUGGUGGACAAUCUCAAGGACUAAUUUUAUCGAUUUGAAAUGUUAGGGACCAAAGUGAUGAGUUAUGCAAAUCUUAGGGACCAUUUUGGCUAUUUAGCCCAAAAAAAAUUGCAAACUUUAAAUGAUAAUAGAACAAAGUAAUACUAAUUUAUAAUAAAGAAGUCAGGUUGUUAAUAGAUGAAUUUGAUUGAAUUUUUAUUGUGUUAGGAAGUGUUAGGAGGAGGAUACAAUUAUCUUACUAGACUACGACACUUGUACAUCAUUAGCAUCGCAAGUACUCAUUUUCCAAAUGUGCAUUACAUUUGAUUUUAAAAAUUUGGUAUUCCUACCAUUAUCCUGAAAACAUAUAUAUUCACAUAUAAACUUUGUUCUUAUUGUGAGGAAACUCCAAAUGUUGAAGCCAUAUUCUUUAAUUGGUCUAUGAUUGAGGAGUGACCGUUGAAAUGUGUAGACUUCAAAAGGAUGUCUAACCUAAUAAUAGUGGUAAUUGUGGUUGAAUCUGAAAUAUUUGACUGCAAAUUCACCGGUUCUUUAGACCUUUCUGAUUCUCUUCGUUAUCUUUACUGGCAUGAUAUCCACUGAAAUCUUUACCGUAAAAUUUUACUCUAGAAAAUCUGGUUGAGCUUCAUAUGCCCGUAUGCAAUUUUAACAUUGAUUGUAUCAACAAGAAAGAUGUAAGACAAUGAAAGCUACAAUGAGGGAUUAUCCAUUCUAUAUAUGAAAAUCAAUCUUAAAAUGGAUGUUAAAAAAUUGAAAGCUACAAUGAGGGAUUAUCCAUUCUAGUCCUUCUCCAAAUGAUAGGAUUGUGAGGGAUAAGUUUGUUUCAUUCCAAUCCCCUUUGAAUUUUAAGAGUUACCUAUUACUUUAGUCUAAAGUAGGGGGAGGUGGCAUUGUGCAAUUUUGGGGUACAUUUCAGUUUACUUACGAAAUUGCCAUUGAGUCUCUCUGUUCCCUCAUUUAACGUUAUUUGCAAAAUUGCCAUUGGGCUUCAGAAAGGGUUUUGGGUCUUUGGGCUGGAAUUUCCGUCCAGAUUGGAAUUUUCGAUUAUUCGAUCCACGCGUUGAUCAUCGCUGGAUCGCCAGCUGUGUGGUAUUUGGUGAGGGGAUGGGUUACGUGUCCAUCAUUGUCGGAAGGUUUCCUUCGACUGCAACUUCUCGACUUUUCGUUCUGUUUCAACUUCUCUCUCACAAGCCUCUGCUUCAGUCGCUCUUGAUCUUCGCCUUUUCUAAGGCGUUUGAGGGACAAAAACCGAAAGCCAAACCACCACCACAAACGAAGUCACAAAUAGGGAUGGGCAACGGUUAUGGCGGACGGGUAACCGCGAUUAUUUACCCAUAACCAUUUAUACUUAUAUCCGCAUAAUUGUUUACCCGUUGGGUAAUUGCCCAAACAGUUAUACCCAUACUCAUAACCAUUUAUAAACGGUUAACCAUACCCAUAACAGCAUACCCAUUUAACCAUAACCGUUUAAUACCAGUUUACUCAUUUACUCUUUUUAACCUGUUUAAUUUUUAUUUAUUUUUUAUCAUUACCUCUUUUUUCACCCUUCUACAUGUUUUUUAACAACUUGAAAAUUAAAAAAAAAAUGUCAUAAUUUUUUUUUGGCAAUUAAACACCGUUAUAAGCACAUUCAUCUUACAUUUCCGUAUUAAAAUUUUUUAAAUCCUUAUCUCAUUCUAAUAAUUGAAAUAAUUUCCGGCAAAGACACAACGGUGUGCACUCGUACGUGGAUUAUUUAUAUGCUCAGCAAGCACCCUUAUAUGCAAGAAAAGGUUGUAACGGAAGUUUGAGAAGCAGCAAAUCUGAAAGAUGACUCAAGCAUUGUUGAACUUGCAGACAAUCUUAAUGAAGAUGCCCUUAAUAAAAUGCAGUAUGUCUUAGUAGCUUUGACUGAGACACAAAGGCUCUACCCUGUAAUUCCACUGGAAAUUUGACUAACAUCUUAACUAAAUCUAAUGCAUGCAUACUGCAAGGGAAAUGAUUUCAGUGCGCUCCCAUUUAUUUUUCUCACUUAAAUUUCUUUUGAUUUAUUCAAUUUAAGAAUAGAAAUACUCCAUGGAUCAUCGUUUAUUACUUUUUAAUUAAUUAAAACACUGCUAUAUAAACCACAUUAUAGUCAAUAGUAUUGAUCUAAGUUUUGUUUGAUAGAGAACAUGAUUUGUGUUAAUUUUAUAUAUAUAAAAUAAAUAGAUAAACGGUUACUCAUUUAUAACCAUGAUUAAUACUCAUAAUCAACUAUUUAUAUUUUACGGAUGAACGAUUAUACCUAUAACCGUUUAUUUAUUUAAACGGUUACCCAAAUGAUCGUGUAACCGCGGAUCAUCCCUAGUUACGAACGCCACUCUCACUCACCCUCCACCGUUACACACGCACCCAAUCAUAAUUCUGAAAUCCAAACACAACCCAGAUGUUAAUCCUUCAGAGAAUGGCAAUGGCCACUUCUUCUUCCUUCCUCUUAAUCCCUCUCCUCAAUACUCUUCUUUGCUUUCCCCAGUUAAACACCAAGCUCCGAGUUCAGGUCUCUGUCCUUGUACGGCGGUAGAACUGGAGACUCCACCUCCUCGGCGAUGGCCACAGAGGCUCAGGUCUCGACCCAAGACGACAAAUUGAAGGAUGCCCAGAUGGAGGUAGCUGAUAAACCUGAGACAGUCGUGCUUCCAACCAACGAGUCCUCCGAAAGCCUCAUCAUAAUUCGACACACGGUAUUUAUUGAAAUUUCAUUGCUUUGGAUUGGAUUUAUGAUUGUUUUAUGUUAAAUUGAAGUAGGGUGCUUUCCUGUUGAAUUUUUUGAAUUUUUAGAUUCUUAGGAGCUUCCCCUUUUUGAAAGUUUGAUGCUUUUAAUUAACUAUUUUCAAUUCUGCGUUACUAAUUGUCACCUGAUUCUAUUGUGAAGAAUGAGGAAGUGAGGAUGAAGAAAAUAAGAACCUAACUUUUCGGUAAUUUGAAAUUUGAUCGAAUAGGACAUGGAAAAAUGGGUGUACAUCAGUAGAUAAGCUGGGAAAAUUUUCAAGACUUGGAUUGUCUGCCCUCUAAUUUUGGUGCCCUCCCAGUGCCCUCUUGUUUUUGUGGUCAUGGUUAAGCCACAUCAACAUUUUAUAGUACUAUUUCUUUUUGUUUUAUUAUUUUUAUAAAAAAAUGAUAUAAAAUAUUGACGUGGCUUAACCGUGACCACACAAAACAGGAGGGCACCGAAAUGGGAGGGCAGACAAUCCAAGUCCAAAUUUUCAUCCUGUUUUUGGGAAUGUGAGAAGAUACAUGGGUUUCUGUAUUUUGAUAAAGUGUUGAGGUCGAGCUAUGUUCAUUUUUUUCUAAAUUUCCAUGUAGUUUGGUAUUAAUGGCGUCUUUUCCGCUGUUAUGGUGAUGAACUAUUUAUGUGUUUGACUGCAGUGUGCACACGUGAUGGCCCUGGCUGUUCAAAAGCUCUUCCCGGAUGCAAAAGUGACAAUUGGUCAGUGGAUAGAAAAUGGGUUCUAUUAUGAUUUUGAUAUGGAGCCUUUGACAGACAAAGAGUUGAAGAGAAUCAAGAAGGAGAUGGUAAGUGGAAUUUCUUUAUAAGUUAUCAUGUUUGUAUCAAAGUUUUGGAACCAUGAAACUAUUGAAAACUAUUCAUGAUCAUUUCUUUUGUGAUUUGUAGGAUCUCAUCAUUGGUAGAAACUUACCACUCAUAAGAGAAGAAGUUUCAAGAUAUGCUCACAAAAGAAUAACUGCGCUCAACGAAGCAUACAAAUUGGAAAUUUUGGAUAGUAUUAAAGAAGAUCCCAUUACCAUAUAUCAUAUUGGUAAGGGUUUCACUAUUUUCAGGCUCAAUAUAGUUUGGAAGGUGAUGAUUUAAUGUGCAGGAACUGUGCGUAAAUGAUAUUUUUAUUAGCUACACAAGUGAAAUGUACAGUGUUUGUGUCGAGUCUUAAGAUGGAAAUUUAAGGGAAUAAAAAAGAGAGGGCGGGGGUGUGCUCAGGGAAAACAAUGUUGUUGGUGCUCUUUAAAAAUGAGUUAUUGAUAUGCAAAUUGAAAAGGAGACUAAUUUGAAGGUGGGAGGAACCUUUUGGUCAAGCUAACCAAUUAUACUUAUGUUUAUACAUAUGCAUGCUUGUACUGGGAUUUGAUUGUGUUUUGAACUAGCAUCCUGUCAUAUUAGACUGUCUUUAUGUCAUAAUUCCUCAUAGUAUGCCGAAUUCUUCUUAUGUGAUGAAUGGUAGGAAGCAUGUGCAGGGCCCCAUGUUGAAAAAACUGGAAAUAUUAACGGAAAAGCUGUCGAACUUGAGUCUAUUGCUGGUGCUUGCUGGAGAGGAGAUGAAAAAAACCAAUGCUGCAGAGGAUCUAUGGCACUGCAUGGGAGAGUGAAGAUCAAUUGAAGGCAUAUCUUCAUUUCAAAGAGGAAGCUAAACGUCGAGAUCACAGGGGCUUUGAUCAAGUUCUUGACCUGUUUUCUAUACAGGUACUCAGAAUUGCCCUGAAUCUCUUUCUGCUGCUUACGCAGAUUUAUCAGUUAGCAAUCCCAUUAUUUGUAAUUAUGAGGAUUCUUGCAUUAACUCUGCCUGUGUAAGUUUAUCUUACAUUGCCGGUCCCAAGUCCGGGUAAAGGAGGAGGGGGAGGGCGUCAGGUAGUCGACAGCCGGCACUCCACAGUUACGUCGAAUCCUUAUGAAAAUGAAUCCAGAACGAAAUCGCGCUAAAGCUAGGGCGUCACCCGUAAGUGGCGCGCUGUGUGGCCCGAGCACAGUGAUAAGUGAGCAAGGGUCGCUGUAUCUCCAUCGGCACCCGGAUGCAGUGUUAAAUGAGCAAGGGGGCCAUAGAAACUUCUUUUCGAACGACUCCACUCAAAGUUGUUUGGGAGCAUAUACUCCUAUCAACUUUACACAGGACACACAAAAGAAGUACUUUGAUCCUAUUGGACGGGGGAGGGUGAAGAAGCUAGGACAAAAGGGUAGAGUUCAAGAGAGUAGAAUGCGUUUAGGAACGUGGAAUAUAGAAACCUUAACGGGAAAAUCUAUAGAAGUAGUGGAAGUUAUGGUGAGGAGAAGGAUAAAUAUUAUGUGCCUACAAGAAACUAAGUGGGUUGGUCUUAAGGCAAAGGAUCUAGAAAACUUAGGGUUUAAACUUUGGUAUUCGGGCACAAGUAGAACGAGAAACGGUGUUGGCAUCAUCUGUGGACAAGACCUUGACACAAGAUGUUGUAGAUGUCAAGAGGGUAGGAGAUAGAAUCAUGGCAAUCAAGAUUGUAAUAGGACAAGAACUCAUCAAUGUCAUUAGUGCGUACGCACCUCAAGUAGGGUUGGAUACGAGUUCGAAGGAGAAAUUUUGGGAAUACCUUGGAGACUUGGUGCUGGGAAUACCUUGGAGACUUGGUGCAAGGAAUUGCCCAGACGGAGAAGUUAUUUAUAGAGGAGAUUUAAAUGGACACGUGGGCAGGGAGACAGGCAACUAUAGAGGUUUUCAUGGUGGCCAUGGUUUUGGGGAGAGAAACGAGGAUGGGGAAGCUAUCUUGGAUUUUGCAAUGGCAUAUGAUCUCUUCUUAGCCAACACAUUCUUUAAGAAGAGAGAAGAACAUGUGAUCACCUACAAGAGUGGGUUGUCAAAAACACAAAUAGAUUUUCUUCUAAUGAGGAUAUGAGAUCGUAUAACUUGUAAGGAUUGCAAAGUUAUACCGGGAGAGAGCUUGGCUAAUUAACAUCGCUUGUUGGUGAUGGAUGUACAUAUCAAAAGAGUGAGAAAAAAGAACAAGACUUGGAAGUGCCCAAGGCCUAGAUGGUGGAAUCUAAAAGGAGAAAAACAAGCCAUUUUCAAAGAGAAAGUAAUCACCCAGUGUGGGUGGGAUAGAGAGGGGGAAGCUAGCUAAAUGUGGGAUUCCAUGGCUAGUUGUAUCCGAAAAGUAGCAAAAGAGGUAUUAGGAGAGUCCAAGGGCUUUGCCCCACACCAAAAGGAAUCUUGGUGGUGGAAUGAGGAGGUACAAACAAAGGUGAAGGCUAAGAAGGAAUGUUGUAAAGCCUUAUACAAGGACAGGACCGAUGAAAAUAGUGAAAGGUAUAGAAGAGCGAAGCAAGAGGCUAAGAAAGCUGUGAGAGAAGCUAAGUUAGCGGCUUAUGACGACAUGUAUAAGCGACUAGAUACCAAAGAAGGAGAGUUGGAUAUCUAUAAACUAGCUAGAGCAAGGGAAAAGAAGAUAAGGGACCUAAACCAAGUGAGGUGCAUCAAGGAUGAGGAUGGAAAGGUUCUUGCUACAGAGAAUGCGGUCAAAGACAGAUGGAGAGGUUAUUUUCAUAAUCUUUUCAAUGAAGGACAUGAAAGGAGUACUUCUUUAGGGGAGUUGAGUAAUUCAGAAGAGUGUAGAAACUACUCAUUUUAUCGUCGAAUCAGGAAGGAAAAAGUGGUUGUAGCUUUGAAGAAAAUGAAGCAUAGAAAAACAGUGGGCCCAGAUGAUAUAUCGAUCGAAGUGUGGAAAGUCUUGGGAGAGACAAGUAUAGCAUGGCUCACUGACCUUUUCAAUAGGAUUUUGAAAACGAAGAAGAUGCCAACUGAGUGGUGAAAGAGCACUUUGGUGCCUAUAUACAAGAAUAAGGGCGACGUACAAAAUUGCAUGAAUUAUAGGGGUAUUAAGCUAAUGAGCCAUACAAUGAAGCUCUGGGAGAGAGUCAUUGAGCAUAGAUUGAGGUAAGAGACACGGGUUUCGGACAACCAAUUCGGGUUCAUGCCAGGGCGCUCAACCAUGGAGGCAAUCUAUCUCUUACGAAGAUUGAUGGAAAGAUAUAGAGAUGGGAAAAAGGAUUUACACAUGGUCUUUAUAGAUUUGGAAAAAGCUUAUGAUAGGGUCCCAAGAGACAUUCUUUGGAGGAUUUUAGAGAAGGAAGAAGUACGAGCAGCAUAUAUCCAAGCUAUAAAGGAUAUGUAUGAAGGAGCAAAGACUGCCGUAAGAACUCAUGAAUGACAAACCGAAAGCUUCUCCAUAACUGUAGGAUUACAUCAAGGCUCAUCCUUAAGUCCUUACCUUUUUGCGUUGGUAAUGGAUGAGUUAACAGGACAUAUUCAAGAUGAUAUUCCUUGGUGUAUGCUUUCCGCAGAUGAUAUAGUGUUGAUAGAUGAAACUCAGGAAGGGGUAAAUGCGAAGCUUAACCUUUGGAGAGAAAUGUUGGAAUCUAAAGGUCUUCGCCUAAGCCGAUCAAAGAAAGAAUAUAUGGAGUGCAAGUUCAGUGCAAAUGGAGGCCAAAAUGAGUUAGGGGUGAGGAUCGGAGAUCAGGAAAUACCAAAGAGCGAUCGUUUUCGCUACUUAGGAUCUAUCUUGCAAAAGAACGGAGAAUUAGAUGGAGAUCUCAACCAUAGAAUACAAGCUGGAUGGAUGAAGUGGAAGAGUGCAUCCGGCGUGUUGUGUGACCGUCGUAUGCCACUGAAGCUCAAGGAAAAAUUUUAUAGGACAACAAUAAGGUCGGCGAUGCUGUAUGGCACAGAAUGUUGGGCGGUGAAGCAUCAACACGUACACAAAAUGGGUGUAGCGGAGAUGAGGAUGCUUCGUUGGAUGUGUGGGCACACGAGAAAUGAUAAGAUUAGGAAUGAGGAUAUCCGAGGUAAAGUAGGAGUAGCCGAAAUUGUACGAAAAUUGAGAGAAAAUUGGUUACAGUGGUUUGGACAUGUGCAAAGAAGGCCUACUGACGCUCCGGUUAGAAUAUGCGACUACAGGACAGAGGUUUAGGGCCGAAGGGGUAGAGGAAGACCUAGGAAAACUUUGGAAGAGACUCUAAGAAAAGACUUAGAGUAUUUGGAUCUAACGGAGGACAUGACACAGGACUGAGCACAAUGGCAUUCUAAGAUUCAUAUAGCCGACCCCACUCAGUGAAGAAGGCUUUGGUGUAUUUAACACAAUACGUUGAAAUGAAGCAAAACUUAUUUAUUGAUAUCUCCGAUAAGUUACAAAUAUGUACAUAUACAUGAGUCAAAAUAAACAAACAAGAGGGAGCCUUCACAAAGGUUGCUUAGGAGAAGUCUCAGCAGUUGGUAGAGCCCCAGAAAGAGAAGGCACCGGAGGGGUAUCAUUCGAAGCCUCAGUACUGGACAGAACCCUAGAAGGAGGAGGCAUCGAAGGUUGAUCAUUUGGAGCUUCAGUACGCGGUACAGCCCCAGAAGACGAAGGCAAUAAAUGCCUUUGGAACAAACCCACAAACCGCUGAUGAUCAAGUAAAACCUGACCAUCAGAUUCCUUCAUCUGGUCAAGCUUCCUCUUCAUGUUUGUAGCAUAGUCAUGUGCGAGCCGGUGCAACUGUUUAUUCUCAUGCUUGAGCCCUCUAAUCUCUUAUUUGAAACUCAUCACUUCAGCCGCCAAUGAUUCAACUUGGCAGGUUCGAGCAAAUAGGCGCUGGGCCAUAUUAGACACAGAACCUGCACACUGAACACUUAGAGCCAGAUAAUCCUUAACAGCCAACUCAUCAGACCGUUUGCAAAGUAAUCUGUUAUAUUUGGGAGUGAGAAAGUUCCUGGCCACCACCGCAGCAGUCAUAUCAUUCUUCAUCACGGAAUCCCCAACGGUAAGCGGACCAGUAGGGGAUAAGAAAGAUGGACGCCAUAUGUUGUCUGGAGAAGGCGUGGCUGCCUCUUCAACGAGGUUCAAGUCAAAACGACGGUCGGAGGGGCCAGAAAUUUUCAAAGGUGUUGAAGAGAGAAGUGGUCGGACAAAUCAAGAUCUUAGAAGUGCAAGAAUGGAGCUUCUACUGGUGAAGAUUCAAGUGUGCUUUGGAACUUAAUGUCAGCCUCUAUAAAAAUCUGCACUCGACGGAGCUUCAGAAAUCGAAGAGGCGCCUGCCCAGAAAUCGAAGAGGCAUUUGCUUUCUCAAAAGUUGGGCUGCUCAAAGACCACGAGGGUCGAUCUCAGAAAUCGAAGAGGCGUUUGCUUUCUCAAAAGCUGGGCUGCUCAAAGACCACGAAGGCCGAUCUCAGAAAUCGAAGAGGCACUUGCUUUCUCAAAAGCUGGGUUGCUUAGAGACCACGAAGGCCGAUCUCAGAAAUCGAAGAGGCACCUGCUUUUUUCAGCCUUGUCAGCACCUGUCACAUGCACACUCAGCUUUGCUGAAAUUACGGGCAUUCUGUUGAAUAUUUCUGGUGAAGUAGAAAGCACGUGAAUCUUAUUGUUCAAUCAUCCACUUUCCACACGCACCAUCAGCUCAUGGGUACCAUAGAUAACUUUGCCAAAGAUCUCUGACAAAGUUUAGACACGUGAAGCUUGCAGCUCCCACUACAUCGCUAUGAUCAAGAAGGGUAAAAGAAUAGCAAAGAAACAGCACUAACAAAGUUUAGAUACAUAAAUUUUGAAGGUCUAGCUACCAUAUUAUUACCUACAAGGGUAAAGGAACAGCACCGCUGCUGGAUAAUCGGAAAGUCCUUGUAUGUCAACCUAUGUGCUCUGUGGCAAGGUAGACUAGCAAACAUGCCCAAACUUUACUUACAUUCGAGAAAACACUCCCAACAAGAUUGCUUGCUCCAAAAUCGAAGAGGCACCGUCCUCUGAAUCUCGAGAGCCAGACUCCCAACAUGAUUACUUUCUCAAAAUUGAAGAGACACCGCUCUCCGAAUCUCGAGAGCUAGACUCCCAGCAGGAUUGCUCUCUCAAAAAUCGAAGAGGCACCGUUUUCCGAAUCUCGAGAGCCAGAUCUCCGACAAGAUUACUUGUACGAAAACCGAAAAGGCACCGCUUUCUCAACUUCAAGAGCCAGAUCUCCUUGGAUAAAGCUUGUCUGUAAUCUUCACACGCAACAUCAGCUUUCCAGAUACCACAGACCACUUUUUCAAAGUGCUCUGACACACGUGAAGCUAGCAACUCCCACUACCGUGCUAUGACCAAGCAGGGUAAAGGAAUAGUAUUACUACUUGUUGUUAGGGAAACUCCUAUAUAUGUCGACCUCCAUCCUCAACGGACAGGCAGACCUGCAAAAAUGCUCAACACUUCCUCAUAUCCGAGAGGGCACUCCCAACGAAGCCUCUCGAAAUACUCAGCUUUCUUUCCCCCCGAUAAUACCUCUGCAAACAAGCUACACCAGAGCAAGAAUAUCUCAUAUCAUCAGGGUUAAAAGCAAGAGUAUCCCAUAUCAUGCUUUUUCCCUGUCUUUUCCUUUGGCCUUGUUCUUACCUGCAAGACAAGGAGAAAGAGAGCAAUCAGUCAGCACUUGGAAUCAAGCUUCCAGUCAGGAACUGACUGCCUGGAACCCCUUACCUGAUUACUUACCUGGCAUUGCUCUCGAGUACCCAUCUUCAAAAUCUUAUGCUUCCAGAGAAGAUACCACAUCUGCCUGAGGAACAGAUAGGGAAAGUGAGAAGGAUACAAGGAAGCAUGUGGAGACAAACGUAACAGAACACGUGCCGAUACAUCCACUACUUUGUCAACAGCAAAAGUAUCUCAUAUCAGCAGGGUCGAACGUACUCUAGAUUUGAUGGACGUGUUUUGACCCUCAAAUUCUUCAGUCGGCCUUAUACUCUGGAAGAAACCAGAAAAUCCUCCAGCCCAGUUCAAGAAUAAGCCUGUGUAAAGUUACUUAUUCAAAAGCAAAAGUAUCUCAUAUCAUCUAUUCUCCUUUUCUUCUCUUUAUCCUUCAUGCUGCCUGCAAGAUAGGGAGAAUGAGAACAAUCAGCCGGAACUCGAAAUCAAACUUCUGAUCUGGGACUAAUUGCUUGGAGCUCUGAUUGCUUACCUUGUCUGUCACCUUUUUCAGCAUAUCCCCUAGCUCGGUGACUUGGGGGACUCCUACUACAUGGUUUGUAUCGCGCUUGACCAAGCCUGAAACUACAAGUAAGCUUCAAGUGAAUUUGAUACAUUACCUUGUGCAUCUCCACCAGUUAAAGAUACCACCCCUUGAUGGAGGAAGCGUACUUCCAGAGAAGAUGCCACAUCUACCUAUGAGACAGUUAAGGCAAGUGAAGACGAGAGCAUGCACCUAUGUGAUUUGUACUAAAUCAUUCACUUGUACUCACUAAAGGAGAGCUUGAACCUAUGUACUUGCGUAAACUCUUCACAAUUAAUGAGAACUCCUCUACUCCGUGGACGUAGCCAAUCUGGGCGAACCACGUACAUCUUGUGUUUGCUUUCUUGUCUCUAUCCAUUUACAUACUUAUCCACAUUAAUGACCAGAGCAAUCUAGCGAAGAUCACAAACUUAAUACUCUCUGUUGUACCAAAGUCCUCACUGAUUUUGUGCAUCAACAAUCCUUAAGUCUUUACAUUUUUGCGUUGGUAAUGGAUGAGUUAAUAGGACAUAUUCAAGAUGAUAUUCCUUGGUGUAUGCUUUUCGCAGAUGAUAUAGUGUUGAUAGAUGAAACUCAUACGGGGUAAAUGCGAAACUUAACUUUUGGAGAGAAGUGUUGGAAUCUAAAGGUCUUCGCCUAAGCCGAUCAAAGACAGAAUAUAUGAAGUGCAUGUUCAUUACAAAUGGAGGCCAAAAUGAGUUAUGGGUGAGGAUCGGAGAUCAGGAAAUACCAAAGAGCGACCGUUUUCGCUACCUAGGAUCUAUAUUGCAAAAGAAUGGAGAAUUAGAUGGAGAUCUCAACCAUAGAAUACAAGCUGGAUGGAUGAAGUGGAAUAGUGCUUCUGGCGUGUUGUGUAACCGUCGUAGGCCACUAAAGCUCAAGGAAAAAUUUUAUAGGACGGUAAUAAGGCCGACGAUGCUGUAUGGCACAGAAUGUUGGGCAGUGAAGCAUCAACACGUACACAAAAUGGGUUUAGACAUGUACAAAGAAGGCCUACUGACGCUCCGGUUCGAAGAUGGGACUACGAGAUAGAGGUUCAGGGCCGAAGGGGUAGAGGUAAACCUAGGAAAACUUUGGAAGAGACCCUAAGAAAAGACUUAGAGUACUUUGAUCUAACGGAGGAUAUGACACAAAAUUGCGCACAAUGGCGUUCUAGGAUUCAUAUAGCCGACCUCACUUAGUGGGAAAAGGCUUUGUUGUUGUUGUUGUAUGAGGAUUCUUGCAUUGAACAUUUUCAUUGUUGAAUUUUCACAGAAUGAUGCUGGUGGUGGUUUAGUGUUCUGGCAUCCAAAGGGUGCUAUUGUGAGGCAUGUAAUGGAAGAUUUGUGGAAAAAGAUUCACAUAGAACGUGGUUACAAUCUGCUUAUACUCCACAUGUUGCAAAGGCGAACCUUUGGCAGAUAAGUGGUCAUCUGGAUUACUACAAGGAGAAUAUGUAUGAUCAAAUGAAUGUUGAGGAUGAACUUUAUCAGCUUCGACCGAUGAACUGCCCCUAUCAUAUCUUGGUUUACAGAAAGAAGCCUUACUCAUAUCAUGAAUUUCCUAUUCAAGUUGUUGAGUUGGGAACCGUUUAUAGAUACGAAUUAUCUGGAAGCUUGCAUGGUCUUUUUCGUGUAAGAGGUUUUACUCAGGUACAGUGUUAGUAUUUGCAAACUAUUAGUCUAUAAUCCUUGGUGUAUGAAGUGUUUUUUUUUUUUUUAACCUCAGGACUUGUUGCAGGAUGAUGCCCACAUAUUUUUUCAAGAAGAUCAGAUCAAAGAUGAAAUUAAGGGUGUCCUAGAUCUUACCGAAUAACUUUUGUUGCAAUUCGGCUUCAGCAAAUAUGAGGUCAAUCUCUCUUCGAGGCCAGAGAAAGCUGUUGGAGAUGGUGAUAUAUGGGUGAAAGGCAACAUCUGCCCUUACUCCUUAGAGAUGCUUUGGAUGAUAAAGGUUGGAGCUAUCAAAUUGAUGAAGGUGGUGGUGCCUUUUAUGGUCCAAAGAUUGAUCUUAAGAUUGAGGAUGCCCUUGGAAGGAGGUGGCAGUGCUCAACUAUACAAGUUAAUCCUGAACUCAUGACGGGAUAAUUCUAAUGUACGCUUUGUUUUUUAAUUGGUAGUCUCUAUGUCUAUCUCCGUAUCACUUUGUAAAAUGUUCAUUGGAGAUUUGAGCAUCUUUUUUUAAUUGAGCGAAUUACAUGGAUUUGUUUGCUAGAGUAAAGCCACUUAUUAUUGUUAUUUUAAAUUGUUUGAUCUUUUGUACUUCCCAAAUUGUACAAGUUGAUUUUCCAUUAUGGCUUUCGCCAAUACAAGCUCAUGUUUUACCAGUUACUGACUCUCAGGUUUGUAAAGCAGUUGCACGUUUAAUGUUUCAAUUAACUCAAGGACCCUCAACACACCUGCACGACGGUUACCUGGGCUAUGACCCCUGACUCUCCUCCCAGUGAUUCGACUCCUUUGUCGACUCCGAGUCGCUCAAGGACUCCACCACCGAUUCCCCAAUCUUCCACGGCUCCACCAUAGACGACGCUUUCGAACGGCCAGGGCUUUGAUGGAGGGUUUGGCGGGUCCGACGAUCCCAUUUUGCCGGUUCCGUCUGAGAUACUGCCUGAGGAGGGCUUCGCUCUCAGAAAAUGGAGGAGGUAGGAUCUCGAAUUCUAAUUGUUUUCAAUUGAACCGAUAGUUCUGUAUAGCAAUUAAAUUUUGACUCUUUUGUGCAAUUUAGUUGAAAGUUGUUGGUUUUGAUUUGGCUUGAUCUUUCUGUUGAUGAGAAAUUAGGUGGAAAUUGUUGUUUUGAUUUCGAUAGUUUUCAAGAAUUGCAUGCUUAGUGAUCAGCAAUCGUCUGGCUUUAUCGGGUAAGGAGAUAAAGCAAUUAAAUUUCAAAAUUUGGAUUUACAGUUCGUAUUUUGAGCCUGAAUUCAUGAAAACAAACAUAACCCAUUAUUUAUUAGCGAUUAAUGAUCUGAUUAAUUUAGUUUUUAAUCAUAAUCAAUAGCAUGUAGCUUUAAUGGAAGUGGGGUUUGGGAAAUUGGCUAGCACCCAUUUUGCUUUUUGUUUGUCUGCUUUCCAUUUCUCCUCUCUCUUGCCAUCUUCUUUGUAUUUUGGCUACUUCUCUCUCCCGCACUCCCUUUUUAACUCUUGGUUCUGUGGUUCUCCGGCUGCCGUUAGGUUUUUGUGGUCGAACAACGAUGGAAUCCGAGGAUGAUGACUACUACAGCAACGACAAUGACUCCUAGAAAUUUUUAUUUUGAAUUCGGAAUUGGUUUGAUUGAAGCCCCCUAAUUGAUUGUAUUUAGGUUGGAUUUUUAUGCAUCAGGAAUUUCAAUUGAAGCCUCCUAAUUGGAUAAUGUUUUUCCCAUGUUAGGCUUCUCUGAUUGAGGUGAUACAGAUACCAAAUUGGAGCGGUGCUGUUAGUGGAGGAAUCUGGUAGAAACGAUGAGUUUGUAGAUUGAAUUUGUAUAUGAUGAUAAUAAAAAAUGAUAUGUUGUUUUCGUAAUUCUUUUUGCUUUCAAAGUUUAUUGCUUGGUUGUGUUCGUAACCUCUGGGUUCUUACGGUUCUUUGUCUCUCUUACUUCAGAUUCUUUGUGUUUUUUAUCAUUCGUUUGUGAAGAAAUGGGUCGUACGUAGUGGUAAGGCUCUGAGGAAGGCACUUGCCACCAAGGUGCGUUUCGUUUGGGUUUCUGAUGUCUAGAAAAUUAGAAUUGAUAAUUGCAAGCAAUUUUUUCCGAGAAACAAUCAGAUUAUUGAAUCUAAGUUGCUAAUUGUUUUAAUUUUGUAUAUGCUGCAAUUAAAUCAGCACCCGCAACUGAAGGUGUCAAGAAGCCUGACUGCUACCGCCUUGGAAUCGUCAUUUUUCGGUAAGUUUUCAACACAAUAUAGUUCAAAUCCUCUGAAUCAUGUUCUUGAAUUUUACUAUAUGUAUCGUGUUCUUUGCAUUUCGUUAUCUGAAAUUUGUUCUUUGAAUUUGGUUACCAGAAUCGUGCCUAAUGUUUGAUGUGGCCAGUGGCUUUGUAUGGUUGGCUGGUGUGAUUUGGGAGUGUUUUUAGUUAAUGGCAGACAUAGGACAAAGGUGUGGGGCAGCGAAGUCAAGUGGGAUUAGGAAUUUAGGAUAGUAGACUGUUUGCUAAUUUAUGGGAUUAGAAGUCUUCCUUUAUUUUUUCUCUUCAUGUAACAACAACAACAACAACAAAGCCUUUUCCCACUAAGUGGGGUCGGCUAUAUGAAUCCUAGAACGCCAUUACGCUCGGUUUUGCACAUGUCCAAACCCAUUUUGUGUACGUGUUGAUGCUUCACCACCCAACAUUCUGUGCCAUACAUCAUCGCCGGCCUUAUUGCCGUCCUAUAAAAUUUUCCCUUGAACUUCAGUGGCCUACGACGGUCACACAACACGCCGGAUGCACUCUUCCACUUCAUCCAUCCAGCUUGUCUUCUAUGGUUGAGAUCUCCAUCUAAUUCUCCGUUCUUUUGCAAGAUAGAUCCUAGGUAGCGAAAACGGUCGCUCUUUGGUAUUACAUGAUUUUCGAUCCUCGCCCCUAACUCAUUUUGGCCUCCAUUUGCACUGAGCUUGCACUCCAUAUAUUCUAUCUUUGAUCGACUUAGGCGAAGACCUUUAGAUUCCAACACUUGUCUCCAAAGGUUAAGCUUCGCAUUGACCCCUCAUGAGUUUCAUCUAUCAACACUAUAUCAUUUGCGAGAAGCAUACACCAAGGAAUAUCAUCUUGAAUAUGUCCGGUUAACUCAUCCAUUACCAACGUAAAAGGGUAAGGACUUAAGGAUUGUUGAUGCACAAAAUCAGUGAGGACUUUGGUACAACAGAAAGUAUUAAGUUAUUGCUCUGGUCAUUAGUGUGGAUAAGUAUGUAAAAGGAUAGAGAUAGGAAAGCAAACAUAAAAUGUACGUAGUUCACCCAGAAAGUAACUUUCCACAGGCUUAUUCUUGAACUGGGCUGGAGGGAUUUCUGGUUUCCUCCAGAGUAUAAGGCCGAUUGAAGAAUUUGAGGGUCAAAACAAGUCCAUCAAAUCUAGAGUACGUUCGACCCUGCUGAUAUGAGAUACUUUUGCUGUUGACAAAGUAGUGGAUGUAUCGGCACGCGUUCUGUUACGCUUGUCUCCAUAUGCUUCCUUGUAUCCUUCUCACUGUCCUUAUCGGUUCCUCAGGCAGAUGUGGUAUCUUCUCUGGAAGCAUAAGAUGUUGAAGAUGAGUACUCGAGAGCAGUGCCAGGUAAGUAAUCAGGUAAGGGUUCCAGGCAGUCAGUUCCUGACUGGAAGCUUGAUUCCAAGUGCUGACUGAUUGCUCUCUUUCUCCUUGUCUUUUGCAGGUAAGAACAAGGCCAAAGGAAAAGACAGGGAAAAAACAUGAUAUGGGAUACUCUUGCUUUUAACCCUGAUGAUAUGAGAUAUUCUUGCUUUGGUGUAGCUUGUUUGCAGAGGUAUUAUCGGAGGGAAAGAAAGCUGAGUAUUUCGAGAGACUUCUUUGGGAGUGCCCUCUCAGAUAUGAGGAAGGGUUGAGCAUUUUUGCAGGUCUGCCUGUCCGUUGAAGAUGAAGGUCGACAUAUAUAGGAGUCUCCCUAACAACAAGUAGUAAUGCUAUUCCUUUACCUUGCUUGGUCAUAGCACGGUAGUGGGAGCUGCCAGCUUCAUGUGUGUCAGAGCACUUUGAAAAAGUGGUAUGUGGUAUCUGGAAAGCUGAUGUUGCGUGUGAAGAUUAGACACAAGCUUUAUCCAAGGAGAUCUGGCUCUCGAAGUUGAGAAAGCGGUGCCUCUUCGGUUUUCAAACAAGCAAUCCUGCGGGGAUCUGGCUCUCAAUAUUCGGAGAACGGUGCCUCUUCGAUUUUUGAGAGAGCAAUCCUGCUGGGAGUCUGGCUCUCGAGAUUCGGAGAGCGAUGUCUCUUCGAUUUUGAGAAAUUAAUCAUGUUGGGAGUCUGGCUCUCAAGAUUCGGAGAACAGUGCCUCUUCAAUUUUAGAGCAAGCAAUCUUGUUGGGAGUGUUUUCUCGAAUGUGAGUAAAGGCAGGGCAUGUUUGCUAGUCUACCUUGCCACGGAGCACAGAGGUUGACACACAGGGACUUUCUAAUUAUCCAGCAGUGGUGCUGUUCCUUUACCCUUGUGGAUAAUAAUAUGAUAGCUAGACAUUCAAAAUUUAUGUGUCUAAACUUUGUUAGUGCUGUUUCUUUGCUAUUCUUUUACCCUUCUUGAUCAUAGCGAUGUAGUGGGAGCUGCAAGCUUCACGUGUUUAAACUUUGUCAAAGAUCUUUGACAAAGUUAUCUGUGGUACCCCUGAGCUGAUGGUGCGUGUGAAAAGUGGAUGAUUGAAUAGUAAGAUUCAUGUGCUUUUUACUUCACCAGAAAUCUUCAACAGAAUGCCCGUAAUUUCAGCAAAGCUGAGUGUGCAUGUGACAGGUGCUGACAAGGCUGAAAAAAGUAGGUGCCUCUUCGAUUUCUAAGAUCGACCCUCGUGGUCUCUAAGCAACCUAGCUUUUGAGAAAGCAAGCCUCUUCGAUUUCUAAGAUCGGUCUUCGCGGUCUUUUAGCAGCUCAGCUUUUAAGAAAGCAAACGCCUCUUCGAUUUCUGAGAUCGGCCCUCAUGGUCUCUGAGCAGCCUAGCUUUUGAGAAAGCAAACGCCUCUUCGAUUUCUGGGCAGACGCCUCUUCGAUUUUUUAAGCUCCGUCGAGUGCAGAUUUUUAUAGCGGCUGGCAUUAAGUUUCAAAGCACACUUGAAUCUUCACCAGGAGAAGCUCCCUUCUUGCACUUCUAAAAUCUUGAUUUGUCCGACCUCUUCUCUCUUCAACACCUUUGAAAAUGUCUGGCCCAUCCGACCGUCGUUUUGACUUGAACCUUGUUGAAGAGGCAGCCACGCCUUCUCUAGACAACAUAUGGCGCCCAUCCUUCUUAUCCCCUACUGGUCAUCUUACCGUUGGGGAUUCCGUGAUGAAGAAUGAUAUGACCGCUACGGUGGUGACCAUGAACCUUCUCACUCCCAAAGAUAACAGACUAUUUUCCAAACGGUCUAAUGAAUUGGCUGUUAAGGAUUCUCUGGCUCUGAGUAUUCAGUGUGCAGGUUCUGUGUCUAAUAUGGCCCAACGCCUAUUUGCUCUAACCCGCCAAGUUGAAUCAUUGGCAGCUGAAAUGAUGAGUCUCAAACAAGAAAUUAGAGGGCUCAAGCAUGAGAAUAAACAGUUGCACCGGCUCGCACAUAACUAUGCUAUAAACAUGAAGUGGAAGCUUAACCAGAUGAAGGAAUCUGAUGGUCAGGUUUUACUUGAUCAUCAGCGGUUUGUGGGUUUGUUCCAAAGGCAUUUAUUGCCUUCGUCUUCUGGGGCUGUACCGCAUAAUGAAGCUCCAAAUGAUCAACCUCCGAUGCCUCCUCCUUCUAGGGUUCUGUCCAAUACUGAGGCUCCUAAUGAUCCCCCUCCGAUGCCUUCUCUUUCUAGAGCUCUACCAACUGCUGAGACUUCUCCUAAGCAACCUUUAUGAAGGCUCCCUCUUGUUUGUUUAUUUUGACUCAUGUAUAUGUACAUAUUUGUAACUUAUCGGAGAUAUCAAUAACUAAGCUUUGCUUCAUUUCCAACGUAUUGUGUUAAAUACACCAAAGCCUUCUUCAUUGAGUGGAGUCCGCUAUAUGAAUCUUAGAACGCCAUUGUGCUCGGUCCUGUGUCAUGUCCUCCGUUAGAUCCAAAUACUCUAAGUCUUUUCUUAGAGACUCUUCCAAAGUUUUCCUAGGUCUUCCUCUACCCCUUCGGCCCUGAACCUCUGUCCCGUAGUAACAUCUUCUAACCGGAGCGUCAGUAGGCCUUUUUUGCACAUGUCCAAACCACCGUAACCGAUUUUCUCUCAACUUUCCUACAAUUUCGGCUACUCCUACUUUACCUCGGAUAUCCUCAUUCCUAAUCUUAUCCUUUCUCGUGUGCCCACACAUCCAACGAAGCAUCCUCAUCUCCGCUACACCCAUUUUGUGUACGUGUUAAUGCUUCACCGCCCAACAUUCUGUGCCAUACAGCAUCGCCGACCUUAUUGUCGUCCUAUAAAAUUUUCCCUUGAGCUUCAGUGGCAUACGGCGGUCACACAACACGCCGGAUGCACUCUUCCACUUCAUCCAUCUAGCUUGUAUUCUAUGGUUGAGAUCUCCAUCUAAUUCUCCGUUCUUUUGCAAGAUAGAUUCUAAGUAGCGAAAACGAUCGCUCUUUGGUAUUUCCUGAUCUCCGAUCCUCACCCCUAACUCAUUUUGGCCUCCAUUUGCACUAAACUUGCACUUCAUAUAUUCUGUCUUUGAUCGGCUUAGGCGAAGACCUUUAGAUUCCAACAGUUGUCUCCAAAGGUUAAGCUUCGCAUUUACCCCUUCCUGAGUUUCAUCUAUCAAUACUAUAUCGUCUGCGAAAAGCAUACACCAAGGAAUAUCAUCUUGAAUAUGUCAUGUUAACUCAUCCAUUACCAACGCAAAAAGGUAAGGACUUAAGGAUGAGCCUUGAUGUAAUCCUACAAUUAUGGAGAAGCUUUCGGUUUGUCAUUCAUGAGUUCUUACGGCAGUCUUUGCUCCUUCAUACAUAUCCUUUAUAGCUUGGAUAUAUGCUACUCGUACUCCUUCAUUCUCUAAAAUCCUCAAAAGAAUGUCUCUUGGGACCCUAUCAUAAGCUUUUUCCAAAUCUAUAAAGACCAUGUGUAAAUCCUUUUUCCCAUCUCUAUAUCUUUCCAUCAAUCUUCGUAAGAGAUAGAUUGCCUCCAUGGUUGAGCGCCCUGGCAUGAACCCGAAUUGGUUGUCCGAAACCCGUGUCACUUACCUCAAUCUAUGCUCAAUGACUCUCUCCCAAAGCUUCAUUGUAUGACUCAUUAGCUUAAUACCCCUAUAGUUCAUGCAAUUUUGUACGUUGCCCUUAUUCUUGUAGAUAGGCACCAAAGUGCUCUUUCGCCACUCAUUUGGCAUCUUCUUCGUUUUCAAAAUCCUAUUGAAAAGGUCAGUGAGCCAUGCUAUACCUGUCUCUCCCAAGACUUUCCACACUUCGAUCGGUAUAUUGUCUAGGCCCACUGCUUUAUAAUGCUUCAUCUUCUUCAAAGCUACAACCACUUCUUCUUUCCUGAUUCGACGAUAAAAUGAGUAGUUUCUACACUCUUCUGAGUUACUCAACUCCCCUAAAGAAGUACUCCUUUCAUGUCCUUCAUUAAAAAGAUUAUGAAAAUAACCUCUCCAUCUGUCUUUGACCGCGUUCUCUGUAGCAAGAACCUUUCCAUCCUCAUCCUUGAUGCACCUCACUUGGUUUAGGUCCCUUGUCUUCUUUUCCCUUGCUCUAGCUAGUUUAUAGAUAUCUAACUCUCCUUCUUUGGUAUCUAGUCGCUUAUACAUAUCGUCAUAAGCCGCUAACUUAGCUUCUCUCACAACUUUCUUCGCCUCUUGCUUCGCUCUUCUAUACCUUUCACCAUUUUCAUCGGUCAUGUCCUUGUAUAAGGCUUUACAACAUUCCUUCUUAGCCUUCACCUUUGUUUGUACCUCCUCAUUCCACCACCAAGAUUCCUUUUGGUAUGGAGCAAAGCCCUUAGACUCUCCUAAUACCUCUUUUGCUACUUUUCGGAUACAACUAGCCAUGGAAUCCCACCUUUGGCUAGCUUCCCCCUCUCUAUCCCACCCAUACUGGGUGAUUACUUUCUCUUUGAAAAUGACUUGUUUUUCUCCUUUUAGAUUCCACCAUCUAGUCCUUGGGCACUUCCAAGUCUUGUUCUUUUUUUCUCACUCUUUUGAUAUGUACAUCCAUCACCAACAAGCGAUGUUAAUUAGCCAAGCUCUCUCCCGGUAUAACUUUGCAAUCCUUACAAGUUAUACGAUCCCCUUUCCUCAUUAGAAGAAAAUCUAUUUGUGUUUUUGACGACCCACUCUUGUAAGUGAUCACAUGUUCUUCUCUCUUCUUAAAGAAGGUGUUGGCUAAGAAGAGAUCAUAUGCCAUUGCAAAAUCCAAGAUAGCUUCCCCAUCCUCGUUUCUCUCCCCAAAACCAUGGCCACCAUGAAAACCUCCAUAGUUGCCUGUCUCCCUGCCCACGUGUCCAUUUAAAUCUCCUUCUAUAAAUAACUUCUCCGUCUGGGCAAUUCCUUGCACCAAGUCUCCAAGGUCUUCCCAAAAUUUCUCCUUCGAACUCGUAUCAAACCCUACUUGAGGUGCAUACGCACUAAUCACAUUGAUGAGUUCUUGUCCUAUUACAAUCUUGAUUGCCAUGAUUCUAUCUCCUACCCUCUUGACAUUUACAACAUCUUGUGUCAAGGUCUUGUCCACGAUGAUGCCAACACCGUUUCUCGUUCUAUUUGUGCCCGAAUACCAAAGUUUAAACCCUGAGUUUUCUAGAUCCUUUGCCUUAAGACCAACCCACUUAGUUUCUUGUAGGAACAUAAUAUUUAUCCUUCUCUUCACCAUAACUUCCACUACUUCCUUAGAUUUUCCGGUUAAGGUUCCUAUAUUCCACGUUCCUAAAUGCAUUCUGCUAUCUUGAACUCUACCUUUCUGUCCUAGCUUCUUCACCCUCCCCCGUCCAAUAGAAUCAAAGUACUUCUUUUGUGUGUCCUGUGUAAAGUUGAUAGGAGCAUAUGCUCCCAAACAACUUUGAGUGGAGUCGUUCGAAAAGAAGUUUAUAUGGCCCCCUUGCUCAUUUAACACUGCAUCUAGGUGCUGAUGGAGAUACGGCAACCCUUGCUCACUUAUCACUAUGCUCGGGCCACACAACGCGCCAUUUACGGGUGACGCCCUAGCUUUAGCGCGAUUUCGUGCGAUGAAAAAAAAAAGGUGAGUAAUUUUAACUCUAGUUUGAGGUAAUAACAUGUGAAUUUUUCGUAUUACUGGUUUUUCCCUUUCUAUUAAAAACAACCUUUGAUUUCUUUGAUAGUGCGUUUUUCUAUCUGUGCUAUUGUUGAACUCCCCCAGUUAUCAGUUUUGACUCAAAAAAAAUAUUCGAUGAUAACAUGCAUUGAAUAUUGGCUAAAAUUAUAUUGAAAUUUGCUGGCCGAAGCAGAUAUCGUUAAAAGAGCUCUAAGUCACCCUCUGAAAUUAAUUGCCAAAAGUGAUGUUGUAAAUGGAAGAGUUGUUAGUGAGAAGGCAUUUUUUUUCGUUUCACUUUAUAGACUAUGCUCACUAUCUGUUUAAUAUGUUUCAUCGUAUUAAUUAAAGUCUCAUUUCUCAGGUGCUUUCAAGUGACAACCCCAACUAUGGAUGCAUGCUGCCACUGGAAACUAUGAAAAUUUCAUGGUUGCUGGGAUCACUGAUCCAACUAAAGUGGGUUUCUUUAUCAAGUACUUCAUGAAUAGAAUAUUUUGGAGAUCCUAUCGCUGGGACAGAUUGAAGAAGAUGAAGAUCACAAGGGUGGGAUACUGGGGAGGGUGGUAGGGUUAUGAGGAGUGGGCUCUGGUUGGUUUCGAUUUGACCAAUGUCAUGGUUCGAUGGAAUCGAGGUGAUGGGGAUGAUUCAUGAGGUCACAACCACAAGAUGUAGGGCCUACGCGUGGGGUUUAGGGGUUUCACAUAGAGGCUUACAGAGGGAGGGGGUGCACACGUGAAUUGCAGAGGGAGAGGGAGAAAGAGGGGGAGUAGGGUUGCUAUAUUCAAGUUCUCUUUUUUAUUUUUACUUGAAUUUGAUUUGAUUCUUUUUUUUUUUUGCGACAGGUUGAGAAUGCGAAAGCUCAGCUGGAGGUGGAGGUGAGAAUUUUAAUUUAAUUCAUGGUAUAUCUUUUUUUUUUUGUGGGAUUGUGCUGUUUUUGGGAAAACAAUAUUAAAUUGAAGUUUAGAUAUUUCUGUAAUUGGGAUUUAGAGUAAGAGAUGAAGAACUAUAUGUGAUUGCAAAUUUAAAAGUUUAGAACUUUUUUGGUUUGGAAGCUAAUUUUAAAUUCAGCUAGCUGAUUAAUUAAUAGAGAAAUUAUAACGAAUGUGUGAUACGUUUUUCAAUGCGUAUGAGCAGACAUGGGUACUGCUUCAGCGGCAGCAGCUGCUAUAUGAUGGUAGAUGAGGAAUUCUGAGAUGCUGAGUGCUCUUAGUGUCAGAGAUGAAGACUUGAUAAUGAUCGUUCCAAUUCUGCCUCAAGGUAUACUUGAUAAUGUUGUCCUUUAUGUGCAAUUCACUGUAUGAUGCUCGUUCCUUUAAUGAGCCUGUCAAUAUAUUUCAAUGCACCCACCAAUUGGUUUUAUCAUCAUACAUCAUUCGUGAGAAAUGGGAUGGUGAGUUUCUCAAUACAGUUUUAAUUUUUGUGCGAAUAAUGUUUGUAAAAAGUCUGUUUUUAUUUAGUUCAUUGCAGAUUCUUAUUCUUUUAUUUAGUUCACGAUUCAUGCUUUUAAAGAUAAGAAGUGCAAGGCUCUCUCGGAUGUUAGUUUUGGGUGGCAAUUGAAAGAUACGAGGACAAACAAAAAUACCUACCAAUUGAAAGGAUAAAUUCAAUUGAAAAUAUUUGGUUCAUCAAUUAUUAUAGUUUGAGCUUUCUGCAUUAAAUGUCCAGUUUUCGGGAAGAGUGAUUCAUGUAAUUGGGUUUUAUUAAAAUUUUCAUGAUUUUAUACAGUUUUUCGUUUAAAUUUGUGGAUUCAUAAACACUUUUAUGAGUGUUAAUUUCUGUUCGUAUGUCUAAAAUUUGUUUGGAAUUUGGCUGUUUCUUCAAUUUCAUCACCACCUAUUCUCACAACUUCAUUUAAAGUGUUUUGCAUGUAUAAGAUUCAUAUUCAUGGAGGUCAUUUCAAACGGAUUUCAAGCUGAGCUGCAGAAAUUUGAUUCAAAUUGGUGGAUUUGGGUAAGAAACUAAGAAACCAUUAUCUUUUGUUUCGGUUUUAAGAACUGAAUUUAAUGGUUAAGUUUAUGUUUCAAGAUUAUCUUCCUUUCUCCUAAAUACUGAGUUUUAUGAGAUUACAUUUGGCAAGUCUGAAAACGGAUUAGAAAUACAGAGUUUUAUGAGAUCUAUUUGGCAAGAUUAUCUUCCUUUGUCCUAAAUACUGAGUUUUAUGAGAUCUAUUUGGCAAGUCUGAAAGUGGAUUGCGUAUGUUUAUAUCUCCCUUUCUUCUAAAUACUGAGUUUUAUGAGAUCACACCAUCUUAUGUUUAUUGUAUAAUCUUAUGCAGUCAGAAGAAUUAUCAUCUUUUUCCUUUUAGAUUUCAACAUAUUUGGAAAUACUUCAAAUUUUUUGUAGUGUAGUUUGUACUUGUAGUUUACAUGAUUACGUAAGUUCUAUUUCUUUAGUAAAUUUUUAUGCAGGAAAGAAAGUCAUUUCUCAGUUUAUAGUUAACAUGAUUACAUAAGUUAUGCUUAUCUUAUCAACCUCAUUCACUCGUAUGUUGCUCUGUUCAUUCAUGAUUGUGUUAAAUUUAUUCAGGUUAAAAGUGUCUUAUUCAUGCAGUUACGCAUGAAACAGUUGUUCCCGCGGCAACACGUGGGCUUAUUUUCUAGUUCCAAUGUAAACCUAGAGACGAAACGAGGUCAUAUAUUACAAAGACAUAUUCUAAAACAGCCUUAGCUCAGAGAAUAAAAAAAGGAAAACUAAUGAAAAUGGCUUGAAAACUUUGAGUUUUAACGAUAUGGACAAAAUAAAGGGUAAAGUGAACAGUAUCAGGUUUGACUUUUUAGUGUAAAAAUGUGAUUUUUCGUUAAAGUAAACAGUACAGCAGACUUUUCGUUAAAACUCCCAAUAAAAAAAACCAUGCAGUGAAAACAUCUAAGGGAAACGAGUUGAUCCUCAAUAAACGCCUCAAUAGAAUGACAUCUUUGUUAAAGCAUCUGUUAUAAAAUUAGCUUCAUCUAAAACAUGAUAGAAGCUGAUAUGAUCAAGCAUACCAUGUUUGCCAACAUAAAAGAAGGAUCUUUCCAAGUUUAGGAAGGUGGGAGUUGCCAAAGAGAAACCGAUUUGAGCCGCAUUUUCUUCAAAUAUCUCAGGCAAACGGUCGGCUGACAAAAUGCAGUCAAUGGCUUCAACAUCUUGAGAAUAAAAGGCACAACUAGGAUCAAUUGGUUGUACUUCAUAUAGGGAUAAGACUUGAGUCUCGUCUUUCACAUAUGUUUACUUGUUCAUUCCGGCCAUUAUAUGGUACAACACUGAACAUAGAGUACAACUUUUCCGGCCUCUAAGUCCGGAACCCUCCCAAACAUUGGACACUACAAUACCAAAAUAAAGCAAUAAAAUACAACAGUACAAUACAAUAUAGUUAAAAGCAAUCCAUCUUAGUACAGACUCAAUCGGAUGAAUCAACGGAGCCCUAGUGUUCAAGCUUCCAUCCUUGCGGUAAACUUAAGUGGUGGCUUCAAGAAAUGGAUAAUCAGUGUAACCAAUGACGGGAUCAGUGUGUAAAAUGUCUCUCUGUUGUACUUGUUUAGAGGAGCAUUAAGUUCAAAUCUCUUUGGCAAAUCCGGAUUCGCCAAGAAAAUACGGCCAUAAGCAAUAAGAUCUGCACGGCCCUCGCCCACAGCUCUGUUUCCAUCUUCCCUGUGAUAACUGUAAAUCAUUGUGUAUGUUGAUGAAGAAAGAAUAUGCAGGAAGAAAGACAGAGAGAAAUGUAGAAGAAUAAGAGAGUAAGAGAGUUUAGAGAGUAGAGAGAGAAUCAAGAAUUGUAUUUUCUUUCUAGUUAGUUACAACUGACUAUUACAACAUGUAUUUAUUUGUAUUGGUAGCUUACACUCUAAGCCACACAAUAACCACCUUAACUAACUCUUAUAUCACAGCUAUAGAAUCUUAGUACACCUAUCAUCCCCCCUCAAGCUCAGGGGCAGAGAAAUUGAGCCUGAGAUUGGCACAAUGAGUCUGAAAGAGUGGUGUAGAAAGACCCUUGGUGAGGAUAUCUGCAAACUGCUCAGUAGACGAUACAAACUGAACAUGUAGUUGCUGUUUUGCAACCCUUUCUCGAACAAAAUGGACAUCAACCUCAAUAUGUUUCGUACGUUGAUGUUGAAUUGGAUUGCAAGUCAGUGCAAUUGCAGACAGGUUGUCACAGAAAAGUAAUGGGGGCUCGGCCAAAGGAAUCUGCAAGAACGACAACAGAGAUUUAAUCCAAUCCAAUUCAGCCGCUGUAGUAGAGAGAGCUCGAUAUUCAGCCUCAGUUGAUGAGCGAGAGACAGUGUGUUGUUUCUUAUACAUCCAUGAAAUGGGAUUAGACCCCAAGAACACCACCAUUCCAGUUGUGGACCGUCUAUCGUUCGGAUCACCCGCCCAGUCUGCAUCACUAUAGGCAGUAAGAUCAAGGGAACCUCGAAUAUACUGAAUACCACAGCCUCGAGUAGCCUUUAAGUACCUAAGAAUCCGUUUGACAGCCAUAAAGUGGGAGUCCAUUGGUCGCUGCAUAAACUGGCAGACCUGAUGCACUGCGAAAACAAUGUCAGGCCGCGUAAAAGUCAAGUACUGGAGAGCACCAACCAAGCUCCUGUACAUUGUAGGAUUAUUAUAAGGCUUGCCAUCAUUGCUGAGAAGACGGUUGUAAGGCAAACAUGGAGUAUCACACGGUUUGGACAAUAGCAUAUCAGAUUUAGUAAGCAGAUCCGUAACAUACUUGUCUUGAGAGAGAAACAAACCAUUCUUGUUCUGUACAAUUUGAAUGCCUAGAAAAUAAUGAAGAGGUCCCAAGUCUUUCAUAUCAAACUCAUGAGUAAGAGCUUGAAUAACCUCAGUGAUAGCUUGUGGAUGGCUGCCUGUGAUGAUAAUAUCAUCAACAUACAACAACAGAAUCACCACAUAUGUGUCAACAGUUUUUACAAAUAAAGAUGAAUCUGCAAAUGUAGACUUGAACCCUAAGGAAGGUAGAAAAGUAGUGAACCUUUCAUUCCACCUGUGGUGCCUGUUUCAACCCAUAAAGCGAUUUAUGUAAUCGACAAACAUAAUCUUCAUGUUUAAGAUCAACAAACCCAGGUGGCUGUGUCAUGUAGACCUCUUUCUUGUAAAUAUGCCAUGGAGGAAGGCAUUUUUCACAUCUAAUUGUCUCAAUGUCCAACCAAAGUUUGCUGAUAAAGCUAGAACGAUUCUCACUGUUGUAGGUUUAACAACAGGGCUAAAAGUCUCUCCAUAAUCGAUUCCUUCUUCUUGAUUAAAGCCUUUUGCCACCAGCCGUGCCUUAUACCUCCCAAUUGAGCCAUCAGCAUUCUUUUUUAUCUUAUAUACCCAUUUACACCCGAUUAAAUUCUUGUGACGGGGCAAUGGAACCAAUGACCAUGUUCCCUGAUUAUGCAAAGCCAAUAUCUCAUCUUGCAUAGCAUUAAACCAAACUGGGGAUUUCAACGCAGACUUAUAUGUUGCAGGUUCCACUUAUGUCAAAUCAACCCCCCCAUGUUCAUGAACCUGAGCAAGUAAAGCAAGCUUCUUAAUAAUACCACUUUUGGAUCGUGUCUGCAUAGGAUGGAAGUUCACUGGGGGAACAGAGAGAACCACUUGGAGCUGCUCAGGUUGGAAUUCAGGUACCACAGGAGGUGCAGGGGAGAAGGGUUGUGUAGUUGGAGAAGUAAUGGAAUGAGUAGCAGUUGAAUUUCCUGCACUGUCAGGUGAACCUGUAAUUGGAACCGUAGUGGAGGCUGCUGAAAGUUGCUGGAGUACCAGAUUUGGCAUGCCACUAGAGAUAGAAUCUGAGCUUAAUGAUGCAGGACACUCAGUGUAGGGAUUAAGUGACUCGUGUAACACAAGUACAUUACUAUGAUUAGGAACUGGAAUUGGUGUUUGAGAAUGUGAUGGAGGUGGUGAAAUAGUGGUACAGUGAGAUUUAGAGACCAAAGAACGAUAAGGAAACUCUGUCUCAUCAAAUAAAACAUGUCUAGAAAUAUACAUUUUGUUUUUAGAAGCAUCAUAACAAAGAUAGCCUUUAUAGUUAGAUGCAUAUCCCAAAAAGAUACAUUUUGCAGUGCGGGGAUCUAACUUGGUAUGAGUAUAAGGCCUUAACCAAGGAUAACAAGAACAGCCAAAUAUUUUCAAAUGUGUUAUUACUGGUAUGGAAUUGUGCAGCAAUUGAAACGGAGAUAAAUUUCCCAAGGAAGAAGAUGGCAUUCUAUUAAUGAGGUACACUGAGGUUUUGCAGGCAAAAGACCAAAACACUGAGGGUAAGGAAGCAGACUGUAGCAAAGCAAUGGAAAUUUCAAUAAUAUGCCUGUGUUUUUGUUUAGCUAUUCCAUUCUGUUCGGGUGUGUAAGGACAGGAAAGUUGGUGCUUAAUUCUUUUAUCAGACAAAAAUUGUUGAAAUGCUUUGUUUAUGUAUUCACCACCACCAUCACUGUGAAGAGUUUUAAUGGCUACUUGAAACUGAUUUAAGAUGAAAUUGUAUAAAGAAACAAAUAUACCCGAAACAUCACUUUUAUUGCACAUGGGAAAAAUCCAGCAAUAUUUUGUACAAUGGUCAAUGAAAGUGACAUAAUAUCUAAAUCCAUCUAGAGACACACAAGGAGCAGGACCCCACACAUCACUGUGAACAAGAUCAAAAGGUUUUACAGAUUUAUCUACGGAGGAAGGAAAUGGGAGUUUACUGAAUUUGCCCUCUAAACAUGGGUGACACAGUGAAGGUGUUUGAUCAGCAACACAAAGAACAUGUGAGGAUUCUAAAAUGCGGGAAACAAUUGAAUUAGAGGGAUGACCUAAUCUCUUAUGCCAAAUACUGGUAGUAACUUGUUGUCCCAGAAAAGCUGCAAGGUUCCUUUUGUGGAUGACUGCAGGAGAACUUGGUGAGAUGAUCGGAUACAAACCAUUGUUACACAGCCCUUUGUAAAGCACCCUCCCUGUGGCUUUGUCGUGAGAGAUAGCUAAACCUUCACCAUUUGCAGUCUGAAUAGUCUCAUUAGACGGAUAUGGAGUGGACAAGGAAAGAUUUCCCAAGUCUGAAGUCAUAUGAUUAUUUGCACCUGAAUCAGUAAGCGAAAUUUGCUGCUGUGGAGGAGGAGAUGGCACUGAGAAAGAAGGAUUAGGACCAUUGAGUGUUGCAGCAUGCAUAGCACUCAUUUGAGGAUUGGCAUUCUUUUGAAAACAUGUUUCUGCAGUAUGAUUGGAGUUCCCACAAAUAAAGCAGCCUGAGGGACCACUUGUAUUUCGAAAUCUACAGGUAUCAGCCAUAUGGUUGUGCUUCCCACAAAUUUGGCAACCUUGUGAAACAUUCAUGUUUCGAAAACGACAUGUAGAAGCCAAAUGAUUUGACUUCCCACAUAUUUGACAAAGUUAAGGCUGAAACCCAUAAAUCUGUGUUCUUGGCGGAGAAGCACCAAGAAUGCCAGGUGCAGGAUUUGAAGAGAAGUUCUUUUUAUUACCAUAUCUCGGAUUGAAUUAGAACCAAAACGAUUUCUGCCUUUACCAUUGUGAUUAAAAGACCUGUAUGCAUUUGUAUUGGAACUAGGAUAAUUUCCACCAGAACCUGAAAAAGACUGAUUCUUGGACACCAAGUCAUUGUUCUGUGCCAUUAGUGCAGACAAAACAGGUGAUGCAGAAAUGGUUUCAAUCAAUGCUUCUUCAGCCAACAAUUGAGAACGAAGAUCUUUCAACGAUAUCACAGUUUCACGACCCCGAAUCACAGAUCUUAUAGUAUUAAAUUCAGCAGGCAGACCAUUCAAUGUAAGAAUCACCAUAUCAUCAUCAUCAAAGAAAACACCAGCAGCAAAUAGUAAAUCCCGUGCUUCUUUAAUCUUCUGCAAAUACACAGUGAUAGAAUCAUUACCCUUCUUUAUAUUUUGCAGUUCAGAUUUGAGUUGAAAGAUACUGGUUCUUGUGAUAGUUGAGAACUGUUCUUUAAGCCUAGUCCACAAUUCUUUGGAACUGGUACUACCAAUCGCACAAGAAAUCCCAGCAGGGGACAAGGUUGCAGUGAUCAACUGCAUUAAUGCUUUAUCAUGCAUCUUCCAUACUCUGUAAUCAUCCGAUUGAACUUGGGUAGUAGAACCCCCAGAUAAUUCUUGGCAAAAUUGGUCAGGACAAGGAAUCGAGCCAUCAACAAACCCAAUUAUACUAUGGCCUUCAAGCAGGAGCUCCAUCUGAAAAUGCCAAGCCAAAUAAUUUGUUUCAUCCAACUUCACAUUAACUGAACUUGAAACCGACGAGAUCAAAGAAGCAAUCGGAGACUGAAGAAUAUGUAACUGAGUAGCAGUCACCAUUGUUACCAAUUAGGAGAAAAAUCCCAAGAAAUCUUGACAGAGGAAUAACCACAAACACUUGGUGGGUGUACUUUGAUCGAGAACGAAUCAAAGGAAGAAGAAGACUAAACCAGCCCAAAUUUUAACACAAGAAAUCACAGCAAGGAGAAGUAAUAGGGUAGAAGCGGAAGCAACCAUAACCAAGAUCGAAAUCCGUCAAGCUUUCAUGCUUGUUCCGGCGAUGAUACCAUGUAAACCAUUGUGUAUGUUGAUGAAGAAAGAAUAUGCAGGAAGAAAGGCAGAGAGAAAUGUAGAAGAAUAAGAGAGUAAGAAAGUUUAGAGAGUAGAGAGAGAAUCAAGAAUUGUAUUUUCUUUCUAGUUAGUUACAACUGACUAUUACAACAUGUAUUUAUUUGUAUUGGCAGCUUACACUCUAAGCCACACAAUAACCACCUUAACUAACUCUUAUAUCACAGCUAUAGAAUCUUAGUACACCUAUCAAUAACCACCACCAGCAAUGAAGGUACCAUGGAAAGCCUUUCUCAUGGGAAGAAGACUCUGGUGGGUUUCAGCUUUUUCUCCUAAUGUCUUCAUCCUCGGCUCAACCAUGUGGCAGUACACGAUUCCAUAUUUGUUCAAGGCAUUGGCCAUAUAGAGGCCUAAUUCUUUUGGAUUUGAAUCCCCUGAGUCCAUAUAGUCAGCAAAUGGAGAUAAUCUAAUUCCAACUUUAUCUGCUCCUAUUUCGUUAGCGACAGCUUCAACAACUUCCAGAGGAAGGCGGCAACGAUUCUCUAGAGAUCCACCAUAUUGGUCUGUUCGAUCAUUCACAUGAUCUUUCAGAAACUGAUCAAGAAGGUAGCCAUGCGCCCCAUGAAUUUCAACUCCAUCGAAGCCUAUAUAGCAGAUUAACAAUUUCAACAUACUGACGGUAUUAGAACCCUAAGCAUUGUCGCUGAAUUACCAAACAAAUAAUAUAAAGACAAACUACCGGCUUCAAUAGAAUUCCUUGCAUAAGCUUUGAAGCAAAUUGAGUUGUUGUAAAUUAUGUUUCAUAUGUAACGUAAAGACAAAUUACCAGCUUCAAUAGAAUUCCUUGCAGUAAGUCUAAAAUCAUUGACAAUUUGCGGAAUUUCAUCCGUCCUUAAUCGUCUUGGAGGCGUGAAUUCAGAAGCAUCGAUGCCAUUUAAUCGUAUCGGCUUGUCAGUAGAAGAUAUGGGAGCUUGCCCAUUUGGUUGAUAACCUGUAAGCAAGGAGAGAGAAUUACAACCUGAAGUCUAACGACAGUAACUAACAUCCACAGCAGCACUCUUUUAAGUGGGAAUCCUUUGUUACAAAUUACUAUAACCACACGUGCUAUAUACUAGUUCUGAAUUCUGAGUUAUGUUAACAUCAAGCUUCUUCCCAUCCAAUAAUAAUAAUAACAAUGCUUCCGAAGCAGCAAAGUCAUAACAAGUCCAACUCGGAACUUAACAAGUCCAAGUUUUAUCGUCAUUUUGAGCAACAAUGUUGUCAAUUAUAAUCACUAGCUCGUUCUGAUGCAUACACCAUUAUGUUAUACAUCAAACUUCUUAAUCGGUCUAAUUAUUCACUCAUGUUAACAAAGCAUACUAUGGUAAAAGUG